UACGAAGGGUGCAAGCGUUACUCGGAAUUACUGGGCGUAAAGCGUGCGUAGGUGGUUUGUUAAGUCUGCUGUGAAAGCCCCGGGCUCAACCUGGGAAUGGCAUGGGAAACUGGGUGGCUAGAGUGCGGGAGAGGAGAGUGGAAUUCCUGGUGUAGCGGUGGAAUGCGCAGAUAUCAGGAAGAACACCCGUGGCGAAGGCGGCUCUCUGGAACGCAACUGACGCUGAGACGCGGAAGCGUGGGGAGCAAACAGG
rnacentral:rRNA from 1 species